UACGGAGGGAGCUAGCGUUGUUCGGAAUUACUGGGCGUAAAGCGCACGUAGGCGGCUUUUUAAGUCAGGGGUGAAAUCCCGGGGCUCAACCCCGGAACUGCCCUUGAAACUGGAGAGCUAGAAUCUUGGAGAGGCGAGUGGAAUUCCGAGUGUAGAGGUGAAAUUCGUAGAUAUUCGGAAGAACACCAGUGGCGAAGGCGGCUCUCUGGAACGCAACUGACGCUGAGACGCGAAAGCGUGGGGAGCAAACAGG
rnacentral:rRNA from 1 species